GUUAGAAAAUAUUUAAAAGCUUUUUUUUUUCGUUUUUUGAGAUAUACUACAUAUUGAUUUAUGUAUUCAUUAAUUUUAUUGUUUAUUCUAUUAUAAUUUUUUUUUUUUUUUUAUUUGCGAUUUAUUUUAUUUUUUUAUUUUAUUUAUUUUUUUUUUUUUUUUUGUGUUGUUUUGUUUAUCUGAUUUGCGUAUUGCCUAUCAGUUAUUUUUUGAAAAUCUUUAUAACACACACAUAAAUAUAAAUUCCCCCUUAUUAUGGCUUUAUCCAAUUAAUAAAGACAAUUUUUUUACGUGUCUAUAUGUUAUUUCCACAUUUAAUAUUUAUUUUAUUUUAUUUAUUUAUUUUUUUUUUUUUAUUAUUUUUAUUCUGUUCUUAUCCUGUUCUUAUUCUGUUCUUAUCCCGUUCUUAUCCUGUUCUUAUCCUAUUCUUAUCCUGUUAUUUUUUUUUAACUAUUUUGUCCCUUGUAUUUGUUUCCAUAUUUGCUACAAUUUUUGGGGGCUUUUACCAAAUUUUAUUUAUAUAAAAUUUCAAUACGUGUUUUUUUUAUUUUUAAAACACUUUUUAAAUAAAAUUGAUGAAAUUGGCUUAUAAAAAAUAUGUUGGAUGAUAAAAAAUUAAAAAAAUGUGGCAAAAAUGAUAAAAUUAGAAAAGCUUUUACCUUUUUUUCAUUUCCUAGCUAUGAAGAAGAAAAUGUCUUAAAUGUCUUUCCUUUGAAAUUUAUUGAUAACCAGGAGGAGUCAAUAUAUGCUGAUAAAAUAUGUGAUAACAUAUAUAAGAAAAGAUAUGUAAUUUUUGUUUUUCAUUUGAUGAUUCUUUUAAUGAUGUAUUAUAGUAAUAUAAUUAAAAGGGCAUUUAAUGAUUUGUUUUACCAGUUAAAAUUGACAUACUUGCUUUUACAUGGAUAUGCAGCAUUUAACCUAAUAUUAAUGUUCCUAUUAUUAUAUACAAACUAUGUAGAAAAGCUUAAAAAAUAUAUAGAGAAAUGUUUUGUUAUAUACAUGAACGUAGUAAGUAACGAACAAAAAAAAAAAAAUAAAAUAUAAUAAAACAUAUGUGUCUUUUACUUAGUUAAAUAUAUAAUACGAUUAUUAUUCAUCAGUUUAUCCGUUUACC
rnacentral:lncRNA from 1 species